CCUUCUCCUCCCCAACCGACGCUCUGAGCCAUUUUCCUUCUCUACUUGCUGAAGUUUGAUCCACCGCCGGCCGGAAUUCGCAGCUUUUCUUCUUCCCUCUGCCCUAGCGUCGGCGGCCUGUUUCUCUUCAACCUCCGUUGCCCGUCGCCUUCUCGAGAAGGAGAUCUCUAAUCUCGCCGAGGGUUCAGGUCCGAAGCUCGCCUCUGCUCGGUGCCGUCAGGUCCCAAUUUCACUAACGACGACCGACCCACCGUCGGCCAAGGCUCUUUCUUCCCUGCUUUGAGUUGCCCUAAAUUCCGAUCAGGCAAGUGACAACCAACCCACCGUUCGUUAAGCUUUCGUCACCUUCAUUGAUCGCCGAGAACCCAAGCAUCCUUCCGGCUGUGCCCUUAAUCUCUCCAGCCAGUAUAUGGUUGCGGGUAGUUGACGGCAGACACCAGACCCUCUAUUUCGGUUAACCCCUUAUCUCUAGGGCUUGUGUUGGACAUCUUUCCCUGCUCUGCAGUGAGACUCCCAACUAGAAUCGCUGUUCAGACCUGUGAGUGCUGAUUUGGGGUAUUCGAUUGGGAAGACAACAAUUUCACUUUGCUUUGAUCAUGGUUUACCGGCAGAAAGUAUCUUCGACCGUGAAUUUCGGCAACAAUAGCUUCAACCAAGGGUUAACAGAGAUGUCUUCGAAUCUGGGACCUUGAGUUACGACGAGCGUCUGGACGUUGGAUUGGUUGAUAUAAUCUUCUGUUGAGGUAACAGAUAGACGAGUCAUGGAUGCUUGGAGAGUCCCGGCUGCCAGUCCCACGUCCCACUCGAGGAUAGUUUUCUUUUUUUGAGUUUUGUUACUGUUUGGGUGGUAUGUUAAUUUUUUGUAUUUUGCUUUUGAUCAAGUCGAUGUGGAUUUUUGGAGUCUAGUCAGGUGGAUACAGGUAUUUUUGUUAGUGCCGUUGUUGGUCUUAUGUUCGUAUUGUGUUGUGUUUUUCG